rnacentral:lncRNA from 1 species
GAUUUAAUGCAUGACUGCCCAUCCUGGACACUAGGUGGCAGCAAACUGCUGAGAGAAGCAAUUAGCCAAGGAGCAAAAAAACCUCAAACCUGUGGAUGAUACUCCAAAGGAGAUGAAGCAAAAAAACGGGUGUGGAUAAAACGGAAUGGUAUGAAAGAACACGCUAGCUAGAAAAGUUUCAAAGGCAUAAUUAUAACGAUUGUAUCUCCCAAUAUUUUCUGAGGCUUCUGGAAGUUACAUCUACUUACUUUGAAAAUUCACAGAGCAGAGUGUCCACUGUCCAGCUCCAGCAGCCCGAGUCCAGCAGCACAAGGCAUCUCUGGUCCUUUUGCCCUGCAGAGAAAUCAAAGAAUCCAAGAGCAAGGCCUGGAAUGCCUGGCUGCCUCCCAGCUCUCUUACGAAGAAGUAAAUUCCAUUGUAGUCUCUGGCUCCUUUCCGCACUCUUGGAAUACUGUACGCCAGACCCUCUCUCCCUCCGACAAGCGACUGCUCGGCCACAGCAGGAAGCACAGAAAUCUUAAAACAUAAACUCAGAGUGCUCCCCACAUUUAUUUUCUACCGUCUCACCCGUCUGUCCCGCCAGAGGCUGCAGGCGUCGUGACUUUCUCCAUGCUCUGGACUGUCGCGUGGUCCCUGUUGCUAGUGGCUCUUUGAACUGAUCCCAAGCCCAUGUCAGAAAAGCCCUUGAUCGAUUCCCAGUGCCAUCCUGAACAGCAGAUUGGGAUAUCGCACCUUUAAACCACACGGCCUGGUAAACAAUACAGCAUGUACUCAGCUUCAUAAACACUCGGCGUUGUUACAAAGGGCAUUGCAAACUCAGUGUGAUAGGACUUGACCUUAAAAGCUAUAGACAAUCUAGCGGAGCACAGACGGUUUCAUAAAGUACAAUCACUUCCUGGAAUUCUUGGGCCAGUGCAGUCGGAGCCGUUCAAAUCCUGUUUUCCUUGCAUUGUUUCCUGCAUGUGAAUAUCAUCAGUCUAGCUGGACUGUAACCAUGGCACUUGUAAACAGCCCAGGGGCGACUUCUGAUAAAGGCAUACAGUUUUAAGAAAAAAAAAUUUUUUUUUCUCUUAAAGACAAGCCCGAAUCAAACCCUACAAAUGCCAUCUGUCAACUACAAAGCUGACAAAUUGCAGUUUCAAGAGUGCACACAUCCAGACCCAGAGAUGUUUUUAAGUCACCGAAGGAGUCAAAACAGAUGCCCAUACUAUUGAGAGUAGUGUGAACGGGUUUUCACUUUUUAGAAUGUAGAUUUACACAAAUCCGUAGAAAGGGAGCUGAUGGACACUGACCGGAAUCCUAAGUGAUUCUUUCCAUAGUAUUUUUCUCCUCCAGUGAAUGAGAUUGGGAAAUCAUAAUUGUUCAGUCCUUCAGUUUCUCUGAUCAGUGAUAGGAAGAGAAAAUAUUGAUGUAAACCCCUUGAAAUACUUAGCUUAAGACUGUUACUCUCUGGAAGUUUGACAUCCCUGUUGGGCAAUUACAUUCCAGCUGUAUUUGGUACUUGAUGGGUUCUAAUUUAUACUUAGAGAUGAUAUUAAGGGGCAGACAGGCCAAAAUAGACCACUGUAACCUCCACAGAAAAUCAAUCCAAAGAUAUACUUUCCAGAUUCGCUAUAUAUGUAUAAAAUUUGCACCUGGCGAAUUAAUCUUGAUUCUUCAGGUUUCUGCAUGAUUGAAAUGUUGGUUGAGCUGACAUUGUAAGUUAAAAUUUUUAGCAGAUUUAAUAUAUGAUGGCUAUUGAACAAGAUACUGACAACAGUAUCUUAAGCUUCUGAGAAGGAUUCCUUAGGGGAGGAAUAAAGAAAAGAGAAGCUCAUAAAACUCUCA